UUCAGGUAAAAGAAAAAAUAGCAUGUUUCAUGGCAGGCACUGGCCCAGAAGGCUGCCACAGAAACACUGUGGUGCAUGGGCCCUGAUCCCCUCUGCUGGGCCUCAGGGAUAAGUUUGGCUACAGACAUCA
ensembl:snoRNA small nucleolar RNA SNORA5